rnacentral:tRNA from 2 species
GGGGAUGUGGCGGAAUGGUAGACGCGAGGGACUUAAAAUCCCUUGGUAGCAAUACCGUGAGGGUUCAACUCCCUCCAUCCCCACCA